rnacentral:lncRNA from 1 species
UUGUAUAAUCAAACAAUUUAAUGCAAAAUUAAAAGAUCUUAGGCAUGUAAUUACAAAACCAAUGUGUUUGUGUUGAAUGUUAUGUUUGAUCACUUUUGCAACCAAGUUCUUCUUGAUAUAUGUACACCAAUUUUAAAGCAAAUGUAGAGUAGCUGAAACAACCAUUUCUCCCUUUUUCCUUCUUCUAGAAAUCAGUAAUAGACUAAUGAUAUAGACUGCUCUGUUUCCUUUAGAUGUAGGAUCCUCCUUGAUUAUGAUGUAGGGUCUCGUCGGGACAUCGAAGCCUAUGGAAGUAUGGUAUGCUUUCUAUCCAUCACCACGAAUGAACAGAGAAACAGGGAGCAGAAGAACCCAAAAUCGAGACGCUAAAUGAGAGGGAUAGGGCUCACAGAAAGGGUCUUCUCAUUGUAGCAGCAUCGAUAUUUGCUCAAGCCAAAUCUCUCCGGAGUUGCCCAUGCCUUACUCUUCGACCGACCAGACCUCCUCCAAUGGUUGCCGUCAGCUCUCGCCUCCUCAUGCACCCCCCUUGUAUUUUGUGCUUCAGCA